rnacentral:lncRNA from 1 species
AGUGGAGACCUGAUUUUUCACAGUAUGGCCAGAAACGGAUCACUUAUAUGGCUGCUUGGUACAGUUUAAGCCUUGGUUGGAAUACACAUAUAUCUGACAGUGCUAAGUAAGUGGUAUAAGAAAAGGCUCUACCCAUAACUUUACCGAGGUGCAUCUAUAGUGGCGCAGGUCACACCCAUAUAUCUAGUAGUCAUAGGACCACUUUUAUAGUGGAGACCUGAUACUAAAGUAUUUCAAAACUGAAUUUCAGAAUUUUUCAGCAUCAUUCAGCUAUCAAACAAGUAGUCUAAAAAUUAACAGCUGAAUAAAAUAUAGGGCUUAACAAAAUAUAUGAACAAAUGCUCUAUGCUUCCGGUAGUAUAGUAGCACAAUUUAUACUCUGUAAGGAUAAAAAAGUCAUUCGCUUAGGUAUCGUUUGGUUCGGGGAUAAGCAAAAGGUGGCUAUUCUAGGUAUAGGUAUAAAUUGAGGUAUAAGCGGUGAUUAAAUCAAUUUUGUGUUUGGAUGAAAAUUGGGUUAUUCUUGAGAAUAAAAAAGAUAGCGUUUGGUUAAAUAAGAUGGAAUAAAAAGGAUAGUAGUUUUUUAUAAAUAAAAAUAAUAAUAUUACCCUCUUAUUAUAUUUUAAUUUAAAUUUAUAAAAUUUUAUAAUUAUAUUUUUUAAAAUUUAAAAUAUUAACGUUGAAAUUUAAAAUUUUGAAAUUUAAAAUCUCAAAUUUUAAAUUAAAAAUUUUAUAAUUUAGAUUUCAAAUUUUAACUUUAAGAUCAAAUUUAAAUUUGAAAAAUAUAAAAUAUUAAAAUUUUGCUUUAAAAAAAUUUAAAAUACCAAAUUUUAAAUUUUAAAAUUUUAAUUUAUAAACUUAUAAUUAAUAAAUUAUAAAGUAUAAAUUAUAAAUUAUAAAUUAUAAAUUAUAAAUUAUAAAUUUUAAAUUUUAAAUUUAUAUAUUAUAAAUUAUAAAUUUUAAAAUUUUAAAUUAUAAAUUAAAAAAUUUAAAAAUUAAAAUUAUAAAUUUUUAUAAAAUUAUAGGUUN